AAUAAUGAUUUUUUUUAUACCACUCCAGGUGGCGUUCUACAUAUAAACAUUACUCAAUAGACUACAAAUGUGACUUUACAAUUAAUAACAAAAUCUAAUGACAGACAAUCGUAUAUUCAAAUUGGACCUCAUUGGAAAUGGGCUGGACUUCGACCUAAUGGGCGUUCCUUAUGCUCGUGAUGUAGACAAAGAAGCCACCUAUCAGAAAAGAAUAUCCGGACUAAAAGGGCAACAGAACUUACCAAUUUUUCAUAGAUAGCCACAAAUUGUGUCACUUAUCAAGCUUCUGGAUAUGAAAUUAAUUAAAAUAUAGUGUGAAUUUUAUUUUUAAAUCUUUUCCUCUGCAAAAUCGCAAAAAUAAUGUUAGCAAUAUGUAUUAAUUGUUGUAAGUUGUAUGUUUAUUAAUAUUGUAUUAUUACUGCUAAUGUUUAUCUUAUUAAUAAAGUUACCCAUUUGUUGUAAAGAAUAUAGACAUGUAAAAUAAAAUCAAUAAAAUUAGGUCUAUUGAUUUUUGCCGGAUGCACAUGAUAUAGACAGUAUAUAAAUAUAAAAUGUAUACAUAUAUCCCAACUUGAUUUCAAUAUGCUUGAAAAUAAAUAUCAAAUGGAA